rnacentral:misc_RNA from 1 species
AGACUCCACGCUGAAUAUUUGGUUUGCCUUUUUUUUUGUUUUUCUCUUAAACUCUUGGAGAUAUUUCCCUUUUUUCCUCUCCCACUCACUCUGUUACCAACAAUAUUGCAGAAUCUGUUUGUUAUACAUCAAGAUCACCACUGAUGAAGUAUUUUUGGAAUUUUCAUCUUUGUUAAAAUGUCUUGGUUACUCUGGUAUAUUUCAUUGUUUCCAACUGACAUCAAGUUACCUAGCAGCACUCCUCCACCUUGGUCCAACAUAUCAAGAAAGCAGCAACAAUAGCAGAAUAGCCACAACUCAAUAAUAAAAUAUUAAAAGGAAAACAACAACAUGUAUGAACAAUGUCCCUGUCUUCAUAAAGUGCUAUUAGAAUGGAAUGUAUUCUUACACAUUGACUGAGCAAAGCUGCUACAAUGGAAAUAUUGGAAUAAGUAUCUGUUUUGAUGAUAAACUACCAAACACUUAAAGCAGAGAAUUACUGAACCCAGUUCAAAACCAGCUCAUGCUGUCAUACUCUGCACUAUAUUUCUCUAUUCUUAGCACCACAUUAGUUUCACAUUUAAUUUACUUUGCUGGUUAGGGUUGGUCCAGUUUGCUAUGUAUCCUGUGAGAGCUCCUAAUAAUUUUUGAACCUACUCUUCUCAUAUCCUUACAUGUCUAUAGUCUAACUCUCUAAUCAAUAUACUUCACGACAUUGUAGUAUAAAAGAGACUAUUACAUACCUGUAAACUAUCACAUAUCAAUAUUUCCUGUGUCUUUAUUCUAUGAGAAAACAAAUACAGCAAACAACAAUCAAUAGCAAUUACAAAAACAACAACUAAUAGUUUUAUACAAAGACAGCAAUAGUUAUUUAUUUGUUGUGGAAGUAGGUAACCCUAAGUGUCAAAGAAUCACUUAGAAGAAGAUGUCUGAACCUGUAUCUCACAAUAUAAGGGUAGUUCCCACCCUAUCAUGGUCAGCUCAGGAGGUCAAACCUGACUGCAUGUACUACUGGACUCAUACAGAAGCCUCAUGCCUUACGCAACCACCUGGUACAGCUCCUGGUAAAAUUGAAUCUUCCUUGUGGCCUUCCGUUUUGGUUUCUAAUUCUUCACAAAGUAAUUCAGCUUUGAAAUAUACUGAAGCUGAACAGCAAGCAUCUCUGGCAAUUCUCAGACAAGAAUAUAAAGAGAGUACAGAGAAUCUAGUGAAAGAACACAAUGUUAGAAAAGCAGAAUUGAUGAAAGAAUUUGAAACCCAAUUAAAACUGAAAAAUGAGGAACUCAAGAAACUAAAAGCUCAAUGUGAGAAGUAUGAAGUUCUUUUGGGGAUUGAACAGAUGACGCAGUCAGCUUGGAAGUAUGCACAAGCUGCUGAGAUGGAAUUGGAGAAAUCACAUUUGAAACCAAAUGAGCUGACUCCAAAUAUGAAUUACAGUCUUUCAGAUACUCCAAGUCCAUCUCAGUACCACACUCCUGCAGCAACACCUGACAAAAUGUUGGCAGACACUCCUCUGAAUUACAUCAAUCGAGAUGAGGACAAAUCUCCAAAUGCAGUGGAAAACAUUACACAGAAGCAUCAACCUCUCAACCGAUGCCUUAUUUCUCCUGAAGGGGAUGAUUCCAUGUGUUUCACAGUGUUGUCACCAACCUCAUCACCCAUGAAAGAUGAUAACCAGCUGUAUAUGAUGAGAGACACGUGUGCUUCACCUCUUUCUGUACCUCCUUCUUCCUCCAGCAUUCUUCAAUCAUCUCCAACUUCUCCCUCUGCACAAACUUCAUGCUCAAUAGUUCCAUCUCAGCCUGCACCAGUGGGAACAGUUUCACCACCUCCACCACCACCACCACCACCACCACCUCCACCACCACCACCACCACCACCAUUACCAACCUUACCCAGUAUCAGCUUAACAUCUUCUACACCACCUCCUCCCCCACCUUUGCCUGGUGCAGGCCCUCGUGUUCCACCUCCUCCCCCACCAUUGCCUGGUGCAGGCCCUCGUGUUCCACCUCCUCCCCCGCCAUUGCCUGGUGCAGGCCCUCGUGUUCCACCUCCUCCCCCACCAUUGCCUGGUGCAAGCCCUUGUGUUCCACCACCACCACCACCACCACCACCACCACCGCCACUGCCUGGUGCAGGCUCACCUUGCCCACCACCACCACCACCUCCACCAUUACCACGAAUGCCUGGGUUGAGACCAACUCCACCUCCAGCACCACCACCUCCAUCCUCAAGUGACACUAAAUCAUCACCUACGCUCCCUUUCACAGGAUAUACAAUGGCUAUGUAUGACACUUCCUCUAAACCAGUUGUGCACCCAAAAUCAAUCAUGAAACCACUAUUCUGGACCCGUAUUCAAGUCCAAGAGGUCAAAAGGAAACAGCCUGCUGGCUCUUCAACAGACCAUGUUUUACUGUGGGAAGAACUUAAUGAGACCAGCAUCAAUUUUGAUGAAUUUGACGAAUUGUUCUCAAAGCCUCCUGCUGAUACAACUUUACGAUCCAAAGCUAAAUCUAAACCAAAAGCAGAUAAGGUUGUAAAAUUGCUGGAUUCCAAACGAUCUCAAGCUCUUGGUAUUUUCUUGUCUAGUCUCCGACUGGAAAUGGCAGACAUUGAAAAUGCUAUCCUCUCAUUUGAUACAUCACUUAUGGACUUGGAGAAGUUAAAAACACUUUAUGAGAUUAGAGGUGAGAAAGCAGAAUUGCAGAAAAUUGAAGACAGAAUUGCAAAGAAUCCUGAUGUGGCCCUUGAUAAACCUGAACAAUUUUUACAUGACCUCAAUCAAAUACCUGACUAUGCUGAACGGAUAUUCUGCUUUAUAUUUCAAUCUACAUUCCAAGAAAACAUAUCAGUCUUGGAAAAUAAACUGAACAAUUUAAAGAUGACAUGUGAAGCAAUGGUGACUGGCGUGUCUAUAAGAAGAAUGCUCUCCCUUGUCUUAACUAUGGGAAACUAUAUGAACGGAGGUCACAUGAAACGUGGUCAAGCUGAUGGAUUUGGGCUGGAGAUUUUAUCAAAACUGAAGGAUGUUAAAAGUAAGGACAACAGGACAAGUUUAUUGCAGUAUGUUGUCAAAGAAUAUGUGCAGAGAUAUGAAAAAGAAGAUGCUGGCACUGAUAAAGUUGCUCUGCCUCUGCCAGAUCCGAGUGAUAUCAAUCAAGCCUCUUUGGUGAAUUUUGAAGAUAUUCUGGUUGAAAUGAGAAAAAUUGAAAAAGAUUUCCAAUCUGCUGAGACUCGGUCUGAUAAAGUCAUAGAAUCUUCUGGAGAGAAGUUCUUACAACCAUUCAAAGAUAUCAUGACUGAGUUUUUCAUUAAAGGUCGACAGGAACUAAAAGAUCAACAGGAGAAUCUUCGAGAAUGUCAAAUCAAAUUUGACUAUGUAGUGAAAUUCUACUGUGUUAAGCCAAAAGCUGGAGAGAAAACUGUUACACCUGUAUAUUUCUUUUCACUGUGGAUGACAUUCUGCAAAGAAUUUAAAGAUUUUUGGAAGAAGGAACAGCAAGUUAUUGUGAAACAAAGAAUCAAAGAAGCUCAAAACAAAGUUAAAGAACUACAAGAAGUGAAAAGACCCUCAUCGAUGCAGAUACGUAACAUUCGGAAAGGCGGUCUGAAAGAUCGUUUGAGUAGCAAACUGAAGGGGGAACUGUUACCAAGGUGAUUGAGAGGUAGGCAUCAGGCAUAUUUCAUUAUCCUUUUCUGUAUAUGCUUACACACACACACACACAUGGACACACAUAAGCACUGAACCAAGAGAUGUGAGAAGCAAAUGAAGAUUUAAUAUUCCCGUUCACACUUGAUCAGCUUAUCAUUAUUGACCGUGUAUAUGACUGUGAGUAGUUGAGCAGAUUCAUUUGCCUACAAGCAUGACCAAAUAUUCAAAUAACUAACCAGUUUGGAAUAAUGUGAAUGAUGGUUAACUUUUGAAAAACGACUGACAGAAAGGACAAACAUAUAAUCAUUUUAUUUCUGGAGACCUUUUUUUCUGAUGAAAACUCCAUCAUUUACCAAUGUUAUUCAAAUUAUGUGGCAGUGAUGUGUGGGUGGAGUAUUUAAUUUCCACUACAUUUAAACCAAUAUGGAUUUUUUGUCUUUUGGUUUAUGUAAAUGUUGACUUUGAAAUGAAAAAAGAAAUAACUAAAAGCCUUGUCAACAUCCUGUAAAUGAAAGAAAGUUCUUUCUCUCUCUCUCUCUCUCUCUCUCUCUCUCACACACACACACACACUCUUUCUCUCUUUGCACACACAAACAGAAUGAUCUAUGAGAUGUUAACUCAUUCUCUCAGUUGAUCUCUGAUUAAAUAUCCAAAUAAGGCCUUUUUUACUCUUGGUGUGUUUGUAUAUGCAUGCAUGUGUGUGUGAAUGUGUAUUUAUAUAUAUACAUCUACGUUUGUGUGCAUGUAUAUAUUCUAUGCCUUUGUAAAUGUGUGCAUGCAAGAGAAUGUUGGCCCAUGAAUGCAAAAACCCUCUAGAAUUGUUAAGCAUUAAACAGAAGAAAAUCUUAUAUAGUUGUUAAGUCACAAUGGAAAGACAUCCUGUAGAAUUGUUGACCUUUUGGUUAAGAAAAGAAAAGGAAUAAAAACAAAGACUUGUACAAAUAAAGGGAAUGUAUGAAACAAAUUCUAUUAUUUUAUAUAAAAAAAAUUGAUUGUUGAGCCAUACACAGAAAGUAUUUUAAAUCAAUUUUAAUCAAAGAACCAAAAAUUUGUUAAGUUAAUAUUUUUCCAACAUCAGAAGAUUAUGUGUACAGCAUUGAUCUGCAUACUAACUCAAUUUGCAUGAUUGUUGACUCAGGAACGUAUUGGCUCUAUGAUCAAGAGGAAUACUUAUGUAAAUGUGCUCCUACUAACAAAAGAUAAGCUACAUGAAUUAACUGCCUAUGAAUUAUGAAGAACCUGAUAUGGAUGUUAUCUGUGAAUAUAAACAAUUGAACUAUAAAUAAAAGAUUAUUUAUAAAAAUGUGAUGUACACUUUGAGAAAUUUGACUUCAUUAGCAGUGGUUUUCUUUUAUAUAUGUUGACCGAACAUUACAAGAUUUUAUGUAUAAAUGUUAAUCUUCUGUCUUGUUAAACCCAAAUCCAAAAUGAAACUAUCAUCAACUCCCAUAUACCUCCAGUUUUUACUGCAAUCAGACAUGACCAUAUUUAUUUUUAUAUCUGUAUCUCCUCCCACCCCUCUCUUUCACACAUGUGUGUAGAUGUAUGCACAUAUGUGUAUGGAUGUAUAGUAAUAUUUUGAACUUGUUUAAAAGCUAGCACUGUUGGGUAGAAAGUAAGCUCACUUCAAGUCAUGUUUGAACCCUGGUUUUGUUUCUUUGUUGUGACCAUUUUACUUCACUUUCAGUGCUAAUGUCUAUGAGAAAGAUAUGAAAUUCACUAUACAAGCUACACACUUUCCACUUUUCUGAACCUAGUAAACAAAAUAUUUGUAUUUAAUAAAAUAAAAUAAAAUAUUUUGAAAUU